rnacentral:rRNA from 1 species
GAAUCUUAGACAAUGGGGGCAACCCUGAUCUAGCCAUGCCGCGUGAGUGAUGAAGGCCUUAGGGUUGUAAAGCUCUUUCAGCUGUGAAGAUAAUGACGGUAGCAGCAGAAGAAGUCCCGGCUAACUCCGUGCCAGCAGCCGCGGUAAUACGGAGGGGACUAGCGUUGUUCGGAAUUACUGGGCGUAAAGCGCACGUAGGCGGAUCGGAAAGUUGGGGGUGAAAUCCCGGGGCUCAACCCCGGAACUGCCUUCAAAACUAUCGGUCUGGAGUUCGAGAGAGGUGAGUGGAAUUCCGAGUGUAGAGGUGAAAUUCGUAGAUAUUCGGAGGAACACCAGUGGCGAAGGCGGCUCACUGGCUCGAUACUGACGCUGAGGUGCGAAAGCGUGGGGAGCAAACAG